ACAGAAACCACUGCAGUGAGGCUUGACAUGAUUAUUCCUCAUUCAUUGCCUGGUAAUACAGUGGAGGAACUUUGUAAGACUGUCUGCCAGCCUGCCACCCUUCCCAGCCCUCACCCAAAUACAUCACAAGAUCAAGGACUAGACGAGAGUGCCUUGCGAAUCCCACUGAUGUGCUUUUUGCGCCUGACCAGCCAGCCUGCCACUCUGCCCAGCCCUCACACAAAACAAUCACAAGAUCAAGAAUGAGCUCCUGCUGUUGACGGACCUCCACCAGGCUGUGCAGUGACUGCUGACCAAUAAGGGUUAAAAGGACG